UACGUAGGUGGCAAGCGUUGUUCGGAAUUACUGGGCGUAAAGCGCACGUAGGCGGACUACUAAGUCAGGGGUGAAAUCCCGGGGCUCAACCCCGGAACUGCCUUUGAUACUGGUAGUCUCGAGUCCGGAAGAGGUGAGUGGAAUUCCGAGUGUAGAGGUGAAAUUCGUAGAUAUUCGGAGGAACACCAGUGGCGAAGGCGGCUCACUGGUCCGGUACUGACGCUGAGGUGCGAAAGCGUGGGGAGCAAACAGG
rnacentral:rRNA from 1 species